UACGGGGGGGGCAAGCGUUGUUCGGAAUUACUGGGCGUAAAGGGCUCGUAGGCGGCCAACUAAGUCGGAUGUGAAAUCCCCAGGCUUAACCUGGGAAUUGCAUCCGAUACUGGAUGGCUUGAAUCCGGGAGAGGGAUGCGGAAUUCCAGGUGUAGCGGUGAAAUGCGCAGAUAUCAGGAGGAACACCAGCGGCGAAGGCGGCGCUCUGGGCCGGUACUGACGCUGAGGAGCGAAAGCGUGGGUAGCAAACAGG
rnacentral:rRNA from 1 species